GGUUAGAACCAGUUCAGACUCCCACGAUCUCCCUCUCCUGUUUUAGCGAACUGCCCUUGCUUUCUAUUCGAAAAAAACGAACCGCUCCUCCCCUCCCACUACGCCUGCUCUCUGCUCGCAAGAAGCCCCUCCUCUUGGUCAUCUCUCGGUUUUGCGAAGAACUCCAAGGGCCGAACCCCAUCUCCUCCUCCCAGCCGUUGGCGAGCCUUAAGUCCGACCCUCUCUGCGGUUCGCGAGCCCAAGCCGACGACUCCAACCGAUUAUUGCCCUAGGUUGCCUCUUUUGCCCAAGUCGACGCCAGCAAUCUUCUCAAUCUUGGCUUCGCGUCUACUAGCAAUCUCUAUCUUGGGCUUCGCAUGAGGAAGAUUUUGAAAAAAAAAGUCUUAUACACCUUCUUCUAUGAUGUUAUUCCUGUCGGAUCGGGAGUCAAGAUAGGAGAUCGCUGGUUUCCUUGAGGUCUUGGCAGUUAUUCCUUUUAGAUUUGGAGUCACAACGGGCACCCGAGUCAUCGCUUCAUGAAUAAGCAUUUCUACAACGUUCCUAUCAGAUCGAGAUUUGGGACGGGAGAUAAUGCAUUGCAUUCUCCUGUUCUAGCUCUGUGCAACCUUCGUGUUCUCCAACAACUUUCCGGCGAUAGUCUGAGAGGUCGUCUAAGGUUCUUAUUGUUUUGAUAAAUGAAAUCAGUCUAUUACCGAGCAAUGCUUUGGAGGACAACAGAGGAAAUAAGUCAACCUUUGGGAGCUUAGAAGUCUUCAAUUGCAGGGGGCUGAUGGUCUUCGAUUUAUGUUGACGUCAUCUGCGAGCAAAGAUAGGAAAGAGAGCAGAUGUUCGACAGUAGAUUGGAGGAAGAAGAUUUGCACCUAUGUUGGGGAGUUCAAAAUAAUAUAUGAGAAGUGUUUGGGAAGCUUGGCCCAAGUUUAUACGAUUUUCUUCAGAAAUAUAGUUACCGGCCUUUCCACUUGAUCUUGUUUGUAAGAUUGGCAAGCAACAAUUUGAAUUUGUAGCAUUGUGCUCCUGCAUAAACUUUGCAGACUUUCCUUUCUCAUUGAGGGUUUUCAAAAUUUGGAUGGAUGCUGAAUAAGGAGAAGAUGAAGGCUAUGGUAUGCUUAUUUUAUAAAUUUGUUGCUUUUCUCUCAUUGUUUUGUUUUCCAAGAUAAAAUGCAUUCGAAAUUUUUUGUUCGUAGUUUUUUUUGUGUGUGAUACAAGAAAUUCCUAAGGAAAGUUAACAUAAUUUUUUUUUUGCAGUUUCAUCUAUUUUCCCAUCUAAUGAAAAAAAUUUUAUUCCUAUUUCUUGAAAUUUGGAUUUUUAGAUUGCCCUUUCUUGAAUUUUCUCUCAUUUUGCAUAACGAUCAGGUGAAAAAAUCACCCCGUUCUUGUCAUGUUGAUGGAAGCUGACAAUGCAUAAUUUUUUUCCUUCUUUUUGUCGUUAAACUUAUUACCACCACAUUUAUGGAUUUAUCUGAAGUUUAAUCAUUUUCCUUAGGUAAUUUGUCAUUCUCUGUGUUUGAGCACUUCUAACCAAGUUAUACAUUUAGACUUCAUUUGGGACGGUUUUUUUACUGCUUCUUAAAAUAAAUUUUUUUGUGGAAAAUUAAAUUUAAAUGUAAGAGAAUAUGUAACAUCUAAAAUGAACGAUAAAGAUAUAAAUAUGUGUCUUUAACUUCAGGUACAAAUUUAAAUUUUCUUCAAUAACUGCAAGGUACACGAAGAGUUCAUAACCAAGAAUUUUGUAGCGGCCUAAUUUUCUGAUUGGCUGAAUUUUUCAAAAAUGGUGGCUUAUCCUUUCAUCUUCUUGUCAUCAUUUUAUGGAGUAACUGCUUGAUUAGCCUGCAAGUCCUCCAAACAAAUGACAAACCUUAACGGAAUGAAAGUCAAAGCUUAUCGGGAUGAAUCAUCACCAUAUGCAGCUAUGCUUGCAGCACAGGUUUUUGUCAACUUAUCCUCAACCAAAGCAGCAGUCUGAAAUUAUUCCUGGAUAGCAUGCAUUCAUCGUCGCAAUUGCUCUCGAUAGGUUUUAACAACUCUAUGGAGGGAUAUAAUACAAACAUCACAGAGGAUAUGACCCCAAUUCUCACUCAUAACACCCGUAGAAAGGUCGGUAGAAAGGGGAGGAUAUUAUAAUAUAUGCAUUCGUCUGUCAAACCUUCUUCUACUUUAACAAAAAUUCUUUGAAGAGGGAGGAUAUGAUAAUCUAAUAGUAAGAAUUUUGUAGGUUAUAGUUUGUCGUUGUUUCGUUGAUUUGAGAUAUUUUUUGUUGUAUUUAGGACACCAGAAGUCUUUAAGAUUUUUAUUUUUAUUUUAAAUAAGAAUAUUUGAAGAUCAAAUUUUUGCAUA